CUGCAUAAAAUUACCUCCAGGCUUUGUGUAUAAAGUACAUAUAAAACAAAUGAAUUCUGUGUUUUGACUUGGGUCCCAACCCCAAGAUUGCUGAUGAUGUAAAAGCAAAUAUUACAAAAUUGAAAAAGGUAUGAAAUCCAAAACACUUCCAGUCCUAAGCAUUUCAGAUAAGGGAUAUUCAACCUGUAUCUGGGCACCCACACUGCAGGAGGACAGAGGGCCUCUGAGGGUGGUAAGGUCCAAGAGAGUGCUGAUCAGACGUGGUCACCCUGGCUGAAGUCCCUGAGAUGCUUCCUGCACUGCUGGUCAGGAAAAGGGAGAGCACAGCGAAGCGGAGGGAAACCUGAGGCAGUCACUAAGGACACACUAAGGCUGCAUUACCAUCACGCUGCCCAAAGCUAGCAUUCUGUUCCCCAAGUGAGCAUUCAAGGCAGCACAGACACAGGACAAAAAGUGGGUAAACGCAUUUUCCAACACUACAAAGCAAUGGGCUAUGGAAGCACUCCGAGGCUAGAAUAAAGCUCUGGGAAUGAUGUACAGAGAUACAGACUUUGCUAUCCUGAGAAAUGCAACUGAAAGAAGCAGUUUGCCCAACAGUACAUCUCCCCCCUUCCGGAGGAUUUAACUUGCAAACAUCUCAAGGGUUAGACUGGAAGGGCGGUGAUUCUAAUUAAGUUUCUUCUCCACUGCCUUCUUCCCCUAUCACCUCCAGGUUGUGCUGGUUCUGAAAGAGUAACUCUGAGGGGUCAUGAAAAUAGGUUUUUUUGGAGAAAGAAAAUUAUUUUCUCCAGUCCCUCCUUCAUGCCUCUCCAACUCACAAAAACACCUGGUCUCCAAUCGUAACUUCAAUGGAUUGGUCAGACAGCAGCAGCUGGCAUUAGCAAGUAUUUCUCUUCUCUGUGCUUGGAUUCCUCCCCCUAAGUCAGUUGGCCCCUGCCUUAGCACUGCUAGAUGCCAAGCUGCUGCUGCUGAUCACAACCAAGAUACCUGUGUAAUGGGUUACAGGACUGCAGGGCUGACUCUGAUCCUGGAAUGCUGUACUGGGCCCUGGGAGUCUGGAGCUCAGAGGAAAAGCAGCAGUUCUUUGCCAGACAGAUGACUGUCUCCAGUACAGGGACUUCAACCAUCUCUGCUAACUGAAAUGACGCCUGGAUGGAAACAUCAUUCUGAUGUAUUAUGCUCUUCUUUUCUGGGCGGUUAAUUCUAAUCCUACUAGACUGCCAAACAAAAGCCAUAACUAUUUGCUAGCUAGUGGGAUGGGUGUGUAAACACUGCCAUGGUGCAGCACCUGCUCUGGGCUGGUAACAGAAUAGGGAACAAGAUGUUGCCCUCAGGGGCUUACCAUAGAUGAACAAAACAUGACAACAUGCAUCAGGUGAUAGUAAAUGUCACGGAGAAAACCAAACAGGGUAAUGUGACUGAGGGUUCCUUGGGUUGGGGUUACUCUAGAAUGCCACCCGUGUGGAGCCCUGGAUGACAAACCAGAGCCUCCCGGGGGAGGAGCACUACAUAGAGACAGUGAGGCUGGCCUGCAGCGAGCUAGGGGAGAAGAGGACAGAGGAAAUGGUUUUCAUAGAUGCUAACCACAGCUGAGCCAUCUGUAAACCACAACAUUGUUUCUCUUUAACAAAUGAAAGAUUUUUACCCAUGGCAUCACUGACCAUCAAAAAGAAUUCCCAUCCUCCAUCUCUAGAGCAAGAAAAAACAGUAAGUAGAAUUUCUUUCCUUAAUCUGCUAGCCAGGGGUUGCUAAAACAGCCUUUUCAUUCAGAAAUGUAGUUUGUCCUCCAAGGUUCAUGUCACCCAUCCCUACUGCUAGGUGAUGUACAAACCCUUGAACAAGUCCAGUUUCUUUGCAUUCUGAGAACCCCUCGGAGCAUGCGCUUUUAUGUGACCAUGACUCACACUGGGUCAUAAUGUAAAACGUAUAACUAUGAUUGAAGGCCAAAAAGUUUGAAAGAGAUGCUUUAGCAUUCACUGGCUGGCAGACGAAGGUCUGUUGAAACAAAGCUGGCUGGCUCUGCCAGCACAGACUGAAGGAAUACUAGUUAAAAAAAGAAAAAAAAUCAAGUG